AUUGAACGCUGGCGGCAGGCCUAACACAUGCAAGUCGAGCGGGGUUUUCGGACCUAGCGGCGGACGAGUGAGUAAUGCGUAGGAAGCUACCCGAUAGAGGGGGAUACCAGUUGGAAACGACUGUUAAUACCGCAUAAUGUCUACGGACCAAAGUGUGGGACCUUCGGGCCACAUGCUAUCGGAUGCGCCUACGUGGGAUUAGCUAGUUGGUGAGGUAAUGGCUCACCAAGGCGACGAUCCCUAGCUGGUUUGAGAGGAUGAUCAGCCACACUGGAACUGAGACACGGUCCAGACUCCUACGGGAGGCAGCAGUGGGGAAUAUUGGACAAUGGGCGCAAGCCUGAUCCAGCCAUGCCGCGUGUGUGAAGAAGGCCUUCGGGUUGUAAAGCACUUUCAGUAGGGAGGAAGCGUUGAGUGUUAAUAGUACUCAGCGUUGACGGUACCUGAAGAAUAAGCACCGGCUAACUCUGUGCCAGCAGCCGCCGUAACAC
rnacentral:rRNA from 1 species